GCUAUAGCAGCAGCAGCUCUCGGUUAGUAUAGAAGAAACCACCAGGCUGGGACGUUUCCCUAUACAGUCGUUUGAGGAGGAUCAGCUGAGAUUGAACUUCCCCCUUAAUCCGGUGGUUAUACAACAGACUGAUCUGCUGCUGCCGUGAUAUUAAAAUAUAAACUGUGCGCGUCCGCAUUUACAUCGUGAUUGGAUUCUGAAAUUUUGAUUCCGAGAUUCGUUGAAUGUUCGAAAUGAAGGCGACAAGAUGGCCAGGGAACUGGUGGCUCUGCUUAUCGUUUUUUGUUACGCUGAUGACAUCCGCAUCAUGUUCUUCCGCAACUUCCGCUGUUCGGCAGCAGCCAGUCAGCGAGGAGCCAGUUCCCUUGAUCAUUUCAGCUGUUAACCUCCUCGCCAUGCUCCUUCCGAUUCCAUUUUUCGCCGGAAUUUUAGCGUUCGGCUUGACGAUCCCCGCUCUCUCGGCAGCUGGCGUCUUUCCAUUUGGUGGACGCAAGAAACGCGACUUGACGACAAUCGCGGCGAGCAUAAACAGCAGCAGCGACUUAUUUGAUUUCGGUCGUUAUUUGUCACCGGAGCAAUGCAGAUCUCUGGUUUCUUUGGCCGCUUCAGUGGAGCAUGCACUCGAAAGUUACAUGUUGGCGUCCAAGAGAGAAGACUCGCGUCGUCGACCUGCAACCUCGAAAUAUUCGUCUUGACCAAAACUGGAAGGAGACGAUACAACCGGUUUGACGUAACACAACGCAACUCCCAAUUGGAAAUGUGGGAUGCUCUAUAAAAGAAUGUUGGGUAUAUCGUCGUGUCCUAUAUUUUAUGCCCGUCGUGCCUGUUUGAUAGUAGACAUUCGGAACGCCCUACAUCUACUUUGGAGUUCACGAUGAACUCGUGACGAUGCGUUUCCGCGUGAAUAUAUUUGAUGUCCUCCUGAUAUUUGUACUCUGUAAUAUGUAUAAACCGAAACCCACCUCUGCCCCAGGCGACGACCUGUCCUAAAUUUACUACUUCUUAUUUCCUCGACUAUGCCCGAGCGCGUGCACCGUGUGCCGAAAAUGGCUCUCGUUUCUGCAUUUGAAGUCACAUGAAUAUACAGUCAACUAUCUCGAA